rnacentral:rRNA from 1 species
CAGGAAGUGCUUGCACUUCGCUGACGAGUGGCGGACGGGUGAGUAAUACUUAGGGAUCUGCCUUCGAGUGGGGGACAACCAUUGGAAACGAUGGCUAAUACCGCAUAACGUCUACGGACCAAAGUGGGCUUCGGCUCACGCUUGAAGAGGAACCUAAGCGAGAUUAGCUAGUUGGUGAGGUAAGGGCUCACCAAGGCGACGAUCUCUAGCUGUUCUGAGAGGAAGAUCAGCCACACUGGGACUGAGACACGGCCCAGACUCCUACGGGAGGCAGCAGUGGGGAAUAUUGCACAAUGGGGGGAACCCUGAUGCAGCCAUGCCGCGUGUGUGAAGAAGGCCUUCGGGUUGUAAAGCACUUUCAGUUGUGAGGAAAGGUUGGUAGUUAAUACCUGCCAGCUGUGACGUUAACAACAGAAGAAGCACCGGCUAACUCCGUGCCAGCAGCCGCGGUAAUACGGAGGGUGCGAGCGUUAAUCGGAAUUACUGGGCGUAAAGCGCACGCAGGCGGUUUGUUAAGCUAGAUGUGAAAGCCCCGGGCUCAACCUGGGAUGGUCAUUUAGAACUGGCAGACUAAGUCUUGGAGAGGGGAGUGGAAUUCCAGGUGUAGCGGUGAAAUGCGUAGAGAUCUGGAGGA